GAUGAACGCUGGCGGCGUGCCUAAUACAUGCGAGUCGAGCGAACAGAUAAGGAGCUUGCUCCUUUGACGUUAGCGGCGGACGGGUGAGUAACACGUGGAUAACCUACCUAUAAGACUGGGAUAACUUCGGGAAACCGGAGCUAAUACCGGAUAAGAUUUUGAACCGCAUGGUUCAAUAGUGAAAGACGGCCUUGCUGUCACUUAUAGAUGGAUCCGCGCCGUAUUAGCUAGUUGGUAAGGUAACGGCUUACCAAGGCAACGAUACGUAGCCGACCUGAGAGGGUGAUCGGCCACACUGGAACUGAGACACGGUCCAGACUCCUACGGGAGGCAGCAGUAGGGAAUCUUCCGCAAUGGGCGAAAGCCUGACGGAGCAACGCCGCGUGAGUGAUGAAGGUCUUCGGAUCGUAAAACUCUGUUAUCAGGGAAGAACAAACGUGUAAGUAACUGUGCACGUCUUGACGGUACCUGAUCAGAAAGCCACGGCUAACUACGUG
rnacentral:rRNA from 1 species